AAAUCUUCCUUCUCACCCUUUCACACGCUUCGGCAUCAUCAUCCUCCAACAGAAAGCUUUCUUUCGAGCGUUCGACAGCCCAAGAUUUAUCCUUGGCACUGAUUGUGGCCAACCAGUCAUCAACUCGCUUCAGUUGACACAAUUGCAGUGCCUUUGCCAAAUCAACAGUCAUUAUAUUGCAGUUUAAUGUCGUUGGAAGAGCACUUACAGCUGACAACUCAGUGCUCUUCUUUUGCCUGCUAAUGGAGGUGAAUCGUAGCUUGCACUAUGAGUUAUUUGCUGCUUUAUGUAGGUAGUGUGUUGCACUCGUUACAAUCUUCUUACUCAUACCUAGAAAGAGUCCACCAUACUCGUUACAAUGUUCUCCCAAUUUUUAUAGUGGAUUUCUUGGUGUGGUGUGGCUUCGUGAUUUUUUCCCGAUUUCAUAUUUUUCCACGUUAAAUCUUGGUGUUCUUUUUACUUUAUGCUGCUUUUACUUUCUUGUUAGUUUUUGUUACGUAGUUUUACUUUCAUCCCAACCAAAUCAAUUAUUUUAAGCAAUGUCUAUCAAUGUUGUCAUAGGGUUUCUCUUUGUGAUACUAAAUCUACCUAUGUCUACACUAGAUAUUUUUUCUACUAUUUAUCGUUAAGUGUCCAAACAACCAAACUCUAUUCAUCA